AGAAUCAACGCUGGCGGCGUGCCUAACACAUGCAAGUCGCACGAGAAAGGGGAGCAAUCCCUGAGUACAGUGGCGCACGGGUGAGUAACACGUGAAUGAUCUACCUCCGAGUGGGGAAUAACUGAGAGAAAUCUUAGCUAAUACCGCAUAAUACCCGCGGGUCAAAGCAGCAAUGCGCUUGGAGAGGAGUUCGCGGCAGAUUAGUUAGUUGGCGGGGUAAUGGCCCACCAAGACGAUGAUCUGUAUCCGGCCUGAGAGGGCGCACGGACACACUGGAACUGAAACACGGUCCAGACUCCUACGGGAGGCAGCAGUGGGGAAUUUUGCGCAAUGGGGAAACCCUGACGCAGCAACGCCGCGUGGAGAUGAAGCCCCGUUGGGUGUAAACUCCUUUCGAUCGGGAAGAUAAUGACGGUACCGAUAUAAGAAGCCCCGGCUAACUUCGUGCCAGCAGCCGC
rnacentral:rRNA from 1 species